CUCACAACCACCUCUCUGCCCGCGGUGUUGCACCACCCUAACCCCUCCAACGCGCCACCACCUCCCAUCCCCACGGCGCCUCACCACCCUCACUCUUCCCCGCGCCACCACCCCUCGACCACCUCUACCGCCGCGGCCCUGUCGCCAGCUGGUGCAUCUCCUUCACUGGCGUCCCUCCCAGCCCCGAUCACCGCACCCUCCACCAUCGCUCCCUCCCCAACGAGUGCAAGGAGCAGCGCUAGGAUCCCUCGCCGGUGAGGGCACACGGAAGCGACGACUACCCGUGUCGGAUCCUCUCCCAGGGCCACGUCUCCCUCAUCGACCCCAACGCCCACCCGCACCCUCCCCCCUACACCCAUCAUCCACCAACCCCUGGAGAAGCAAUAGUACCAGUCGACGGCCCCGUUCAUCGCGGUGCAGGAGGAGGCGGAUGGGCAGGGGGAGGGACUGGAUCUGAGGCUGUGCGUGCGCGGGAGGGAUGGCGGCGGCUGUGUCGUCAUCAUGGACCACAACUUUGCCCCACCCAUGCCAUGCUUCGCAUCGUCGAGCGGCCCCGCGUGCCCGUGAAGGUCUGAUCGUGCGUUGGGAGAGGGCCGGUGGUCGCAUCUGUGCCCAGGAAGCCGGAUCCCCCACGUGCGCCCAUCGAUAUGGGGUCACGGCCAUGAAGCUCAUCAAGCCCACCUGCUACUUGAGCAUCUCACUCCAUACCCUUGCAGUUCACCCACGGCGCCAUGCACCCACUUUGAAGUUCGUUUUAGUCACCAUUUACGCCAUCCACAUACAGGGAUCGUUGCAGUUCGUUUCCUAUGCAUGCAAUAGUAUUUUAUUUUCUCAUUUUUGGGUUCGCUGGAACCAAUGUGUAGUUUGAUUGGGCGUGCCAUGCGGUGUGGCAGGGCGUGCAAUGCGGUUUGGCACUCUGAACACCUGCAGGUGCUUCGUUGUGGUGGUAAACAUGGCUAGAACGAGAGCAGGGGUGGGCACCUCGUCUGGCUAGACUCCAAAACAUCGACGAGAUGCUUCGUCAUGGCCCUUGUGUGGUUUGUGCGCUUGCGAUUUGGCAGCCCUGGACGAGCAGCUAGCUUAUUUUGUUCUUGGGCAAUCUACUUGAAGUGUCAUUGCAGACUAGUUUUAGUUUGGCGGCCCUUGUUCGGUUACCAAGCCAUUUGUAGUCGGCCGACGGGCUGAGUUGUAGGGUUCUGGGAAUUUAUUUUUUAGGCACACUGUGUGUUGUUUUCAGGUGCAUGUAUAUGAUUUUGUUUUAAAAGAAGUCCUCCCAACACCGUGUUGUGGUUCAAUUC